AAAAAAUAUUGUUAAUAAUGUAAAGGGCUUUACACAAACCUUCAAUCACAUCUUUAUCCCUUCACUUUUUGGUGCCCACUAGAGUGGGCAACUUUAAAGUUGGUCCACCGGUGGACCAUCAUCAUAUGCCGUUGGAUCUAAGAAUAUUUUUUUAUUGGAUGGUUAGGAUUAAAUGAUGAUAAAAAGAAUAAAAUAGUAAAUUACAAUCCCUCUUCAUCUUCCCCAAUCCAGUGUUUUUCCCCAACCUACCGCCAUCCACCUGAUCAGCGCCGGCCAGGUCACUGCUGCCACCCAUUGACCUCACAGCUCCGGCGAUUGAAGAAGAAGAAGCUGAAACUUUGAAGGGAGAAGAACUAUGAUGAUGGAGAAAGGGUUGGUUCUCCACCACCACCGCAAAUCUGGGUUCAUGUUCGUUACAGAUCUGGACCGUUUGGGUAGAUCUGGGUUCGUUACAGCUCCCCGAUGAGAAUUACGGAUCCGAACGACAUGGAAUCGAGCAGGUCGAGGUCGGUGCUUGCGGUGGAUACACGGCGGUUGAGGCAUUGUACGAACGUGGAAGACGCAGAAUCUCUUACGACGGUAGAAGAAUUCAGAUAUCCUCAGGAAACAAACGGAACAUUUCAGCAUCCUGAAGAGCCAUGUUCUUAAUCGUUUUCAAUAGGGAUGAUGUAACAUUCAAAGACCCUUUGAACACGUUUACUGGUAUUGAGAAGUAUAAAUUGAUCUUCUGGGCAUUGAGGUUUCACGGUACAGUCUUGUUUCAUGAGAUUGCUUUGGAUGUGUAUAGGGUAGGCAGCCUUCUGAGAAUGAAAUACUGAUUAGGAGAAGGGAAAGGUAAAGGAAGGAGGAAAAGUCAAUAUUACCCAUUGGUCCACCGGUGGACCACUUUUAAAGUUGCCCACCCUAGUGGGCACCUCAAUUUUUUUAUUGUUACAAUCAAGAUAGCAUCAAGCUUUAGGCAGUUCCCCUUGAUGGUCUUCUGCCUCUGCUAGUUUCUGAUAGGACAUGUAGGUCUUAGUUUGUUCGUAAUGUCGUUUUGUUUUCUCUAUUCCACCUUCACCAAAAUACGUGUUCAUGACAUAGCAUCAGAUAUGUAAAGUUGUGUUUAUGUUAAUUUCUCCAAUAACUGUGAAGAAAGACAAUGUCGGAAAGGAUUAGCCUUGAAUCAUAGAUUUUCAUUUCAAAUUUC